GGCUCAGAUUGAACGCUGGCGGCAUGCCUUACACAUGCAAGUCGAACGGUAGAGGGGGCAACCCUUGAGAGUGGCGAACGGGUGAGUAAUAUAUCGGAACGUGCCCAGUCGUGGGGGAUAACGUAGCGAAAGUUACGCUAAUACCGCAUACGAUCUAAGGAUGAAAGCGGGGGAUCGCAAGACCUCGCGCGAUUGGAGCGGCCGAUAUCAGAUUAGGUAGUUGGUGAGGUAAAGGCUCACCAAGCCGACGAUCUGUAGCUGGUCUGAGAGGACGACCAGCCACACUGGGACUGAGACACGGCCCAGACUCCUACGGGAGGCAGCAGUGGGGAAUUUUGGACAAUGGGCGCAAGCCUGACCCAGCAAUGCCGCGUGCAGGAUGAAGGCCUUCGGGUUGUAAACUGCUUUUGUACGGAACGAAACGGUGAGCUCUAAUACAGUUUGCUAAUGACGGUACCGUAAGAAUAAGCACCGGCUAACUACGUG
rnacentral:rRNA from 1 species